rnacentral:rRNA from 1 species
AUUGAACGCUGGCGGCAGGCCUAACACAUGCAAGUCGAGCGGAUGAAGGGAGCUUGCUCCUGGAUUCAGCGGCGGACGGGUGAGUAAUGCCUAGGAAUCUGCCUGGUAGUGGGGGAUAACGUCCGGAAACGGGCGCUAAUACCGCAUACGUCCUGAGGGAGAAAGUGGGGGAUCUUCGGACCUCACGCUAUCAGAUGAGCCUAGGUCGGAUUAGCUAGUUGGUGGGGUAAAGGCCUACCAAGGCGACGAUCCGUAACUGGUCUGAGAGGAUGAUCAGUCACACUGGAACUGAGACACGGUCCAGAGUCCUACGGGAGGCAGCAGUGGGGAGUAUUGGACAAUGGGCGAAAGCCUGAUCCAGCCAUGCCGCGUGUGUGAAGAAGGUCUUCGGAUUGUAAAGCACUUUAAGUUGGGAGGAAGGGCAGUAAGUUAAUACCUUGCUGUUUUGACGUUACCAACAGAAUAAGCACCGGCUAACUUCGUG